rnacentral:lncRNA from 1 species
UUAGAAGUAACAUUCAAAUUUCUCAUUAUCACACAAUUCUGCAUCCAAUUAAACUAAAGGUUAAGAUCUCAGAACUUUUCCAACAAUGCAUACUCUAAGACCAUCAACUCAUCUUUAUGCAUCUCUUUCCGAUUUAAGGCAUUUGCAACCUUAUUUGCUUUCCCUGGAUGAUACUUGAGCUCAAAACAAAAUCUUUCAAAUACUCCAUCCAUCUCCUUUGUCUCAUGUCCAACUCUUUCUGGUCAAAUAAGUAUUUGAAACUCUU